UUAAUACUCCCUCCGUCCAAAAAUACUUGUUGGGGGAAUGGAUGUAUCUAGAAAUAUUUUAGUUCUAGAUACAUCCAUUUUUCUGACAAGUAUUUCUGGACAGAGGGAGUAUUUA
rnacentral:pre_miRNA from 2 species